GUGGGACGUGUUGGAUUGAGAAUAACUUCCGAAGUCGUUCAAGAAUCAUUGCUAUGCAUCAAUCAAUAUUAUUAGUUUCGGAAAACCCCCUGGUGCCACAGUGCACCUCAUGUUGCACUAUGUAUCACUGCAGUUUAUGCCCUGCUCUGAAGCCAACCACCCUGAAAAAAAUCAAGCAACACUGGGAAGGCCAUUUAAAAAAGGCAAUUGUUUUCCAAGACAAAAGAUUAUGUCGUUGCCAUUUGCCCUGCAGAACUGAGGCUCAUUACCAUUGCCCCAAUUGCAGCAAAACUGUUCUCAGGAGAUAUGUUAUGGAAGCUCACCUUCAGAUAUGCUCAUCAUCAGAUGUACCCAUCCAACCUUCU